rnacentral:pre_miRNA from 1 species
AUGUCAUCUGGAGUUCCUUCAAACCACUUCAGUAGGGUCAUGCUUCGCCUCGGAUAAGCAUCAGCCCUAACUGAAGUGUUUGGGGGAACUCUGGAUGGCAU